UCCUUCGCUCUCGUCUAAACAAACCGUUAACUCACCAACCCAUCCGACGACGAAUCGAUACACGAAUCCGAGAGAGGCAUGUACCUCACCGCGAGAAUGUGACUCAACAGAGAGAGAGAGAGAGAGAGGAGAACAUGAAACGCUCAUGAAAUCUAACAGAAUUGCCAAUUUUCGGAUAUAUCUAUCGUAAUCUGAAGCUAGAAAUUUUCAUAUCAUUAAAAAAUGUGCCUCUGAUGA